AUAUGUCAUAAAUUCUCUUAAGGAACCAACCCCAUCAGAUCUUGGAAGUUAAGCAGAGUCAGGCAUGGUUAGUAUUUGGAUGGGAGACCACCAAUGAAUCCCAAGUGGAACUGAAU
rnacentral:rRNA from 1 species